rnacentral:rRNA from 1 species
AGUGAACGCUGGCGGUAGGCCUAACACAUGCAAGUCGAACGGCAGCAUCGUAAGAGCUUGCUCUUACGGGUGGCGAGUGGCGGACGGGUGAGGAAUACAUCGGAAUCUACUUUUUCGUGGGGGAUAACGUAGGGAAACUUACGCUAAUACCGCAUACGACCUACGGGUGAAAGCAGGGGAUCUUCGGACCUUUCGCGAUUGAAUGAGCCGCUGUCGGAUUAGCUAGUUGGCGGGGUAAAGGCCCACCAAGGCGACGAUCCGUAGCUGGUCUGAGAGGAUGAUCAGCCACACUGGAACUGAGACACGGUCCAGACUCCUACGGGAGGCAGCAGUGGGGAAUAUUGGACAAUGGGCGCAAGCCUGAUCCAGCCAUACCGCGUGGGUGAAGAAGGCCUUCGGGUUGUAAAGCCCUUUUGUUGGGAAAGAAAAGCAGCAGGUUAAUACCCCGCUGUUCUGACGGUACCCAAAGAAUAAGCACCGGCUAACUUCGUG